AAAAUGCUCUCUCACUUGACCCACAGCCCUCCCUUCCUCUUCCUGUUGUGCUUCCACUGUUCCAGCAGCCACAAAAAAUCCACCUCUUUCCCUUUCUCUUUCGCCAAGUCUACUUUUCAUAUUUUCCUUCCAUGGGUCUUUUUUAAAAAAAAAAAGAAUUUUUUUUAGUUCAAAAUUUUACUAUAUUCUUGCUAUACAACAAACAGAGCAAUAACCUCCCAUCUACAUAAACUUGGUCACAACCGUCUUUAUCUUUUUUUUGGGUUUUCUAUGUUUUGGUCCCAAAUGACAAAAGUCAGGAAGAAAACCUAACAAUUUUCAGCCAUGAAAACCCAUCAAGCAGAAAAAGAUUUAUUCCUUUUCUUUGCUUUACUUUCAAAAAGUUGUUUAUCAAAAUUUAAUUUUUCUUGUAAAAUCCAGGAUAACAAAGCUUGGGUGAACGACAAUGGUUGUCGCUGUUUAAAAGGUUGUUUAGGAAAGGACCUGGUUUAAAAAAAUUGUUUAAUUGUUUAAUUUUACCUUAAAAAUGUAGAGGAUAAGAGGAAGGGAAGGAUGAACGAUGGUGGUCUGGGCUGAACAGCGGCGUUGUUGGAUGAUAGGGGAUGCAAAUCUUGUCAAAUCCAAGAGAAUAGGAAGCUAAGGUGAAGCUUGGUUAUUAAUUUUGUAAAAUACACCGAGACUUUCAGGUGGAUUUUUUGUGGCUGCUGGAACGGUGGAGAAGAGGAAGGAAAGGGAAUGGAAGACUGUGGGCACCUGCGAGAGUAUUUUUGGGAGGAAAUUUUUGAGCCGUUGUUUUUAUUCUAAAGGCAUAGAAUAAACACGCAUUUUUAGACAGCAUAUAAAAGGAUCUAGACGGACCUGAUAAUAGCCUCUCCCUAUAUAUAUAUAUAUAUAUAGAGGGGAGUUUAGAAUAGGGAUCGACCGCACAGAAGCCCAUGCGGACCAAAAACAUGCUUAUUUUGCUGGCCGUUGGAUUGAAAUUGGUGGUCCAGAUUAGAUUGCCAUUUCCCUCCCAUUCCUUUCCUUUCCCACCCAUCUUCUGUCCUGUUCGAUGCCUAUCUCCCACUGUGUUCGAGCAAGUAGCCAUCCCAUUCCCUUCCUUUCCUACCUAUCCAGCCAGAAGUAGGGACUGUUCGACAGCCAGAGCCACCGCCGUUCAGCCCAUAUCGACGUCCCAGACCAUCCAAAACCCAUGGCCUAGGCCACCGCUCACAGAGACUCUUUGUCUUUUUGAUCUUUCUCCUUGACGAGCAGCAGCGAUGGCAUUACGGCUAGGAUUUUUAAAUACCUUAUUCGAAUUUUUUUUUUCAAUUUUUUUUUUUUUUGGGUUUUGAUCGAUCUUAUUCAUUAUCUUUGUAUAUUGAUUUAUUUAUUUUUGUUAUUCUGUGUCAUGAAUAUAGGUUUCUGAAUUUGUAUUUAAGAUGUACCAUCAGAGACACCAUCGACAAGCUCAGACCACCCAUAUGCGAUAUUGUCCGCUUUGGGCCGGGCCCGCACAGUUUUGCUCUUCCCGACCCCAGAACAACGGUGGGUCACAGGAAAAGGCCUCGCAAGGGAAAGGUAUCCACACCCACUUAUAUGGCAUGCUUCGUUCUCCUUUCCAACCGAUGUGGGAUGUUACAAUCAUUUUAGUUCGUUGCCGAAAGUUCAAGAAGACUGCAGAUCACACUAAAUGGGUUGGCGCAUUUCACCAAAAGCAGGACUUCAUUGAUGUUGUGGAGGCAAUAUUUAAGGGAGCAAUGACAAGGAAGCUGAUAGUGAAUUGCUUUCUGCCCCCAGAAAGAAUACCUAAAUAUCAGUUAUUACAUGAGGAUGUCUGAGAGUCCUUUGGGCAUGAGCAUCAGGCAUUUGUUACUUGAGCAAGUAGUUUUAUGUAAGAGCCUCAUGGCCUUCCAAGGUAUGAAGACUUUAAGAGGAACUUUCUCAAUUACGAUGUUAAUUUUUGCUUGCCAUUGUUAAGGAAUGGUCUCUCGCAUAUGAUAAACUGGAGUAUAUGGUACUUUAGGGUUAAAAACUUAGGAAUGUGUAAUAAAAAAAAAAAGCUUGGUAACAUGUUAUAACUUUGCAAGUGACUCAUCUCAGAAUACGGUUUCAGGCAAGUGAAUUCUUUUAAUUGAUUUUGCACUCUGUUUUCCUUUUUCCUUUUUUCUUUUUUCUUUUUUCUUUUUUCUUUGUUUUUUAAUAUGUAUAUAUAAUAGACACUUAUAGGUCAAUUUUGUGGUGAUUGAUUGAGGUUUAUCAUGCAUGAUGCAAUUUAAUAUAACUCGUGUUUAACUUUGAUUUUUGCUCCAGUCCUUGGUAAAGAUGAAGGUGAAGCUGGAAGGGGACUCUCCAGCUUAUAAAUCUAGUGUAUAAAAAUAUAACAAUUUAAGCACUCAACAAACCAUUGGGGCAUCAAUCAGAGGAUGUACCUAUUAAAUGAUGAAAUUGAUCUGGAUAUUAGCUUUAGCUGACAAGUUGUGUAAGAAUUAUACAUGAAUGAGUAUUCUUAUGUUAAUGUUUGAUGUUCCAAAUCUAUUUUGGAUGAACUCUAUUCCAAAAUUUAAAUAUAAUAUAACAUGCUGUCACAUUUA